GAGGCGCGGAGAAGGAGGAGGGGGACGCAGAGAAGGCUGCUUUGCACUGCUGGCCCCGCCAACGUGACGGUCAGCCUCGCCGAGCGCUCGCACUAGCUCACACUCACUCUCACUCUCACACUCAUUCCCACCCGCGCUACAGCGCGAUCGCGGGGUCCCAGGCACCCUUCGCCGCACUCCCCCCCAGGAUCCCUCCAGUUAAUCAGAGCUGACUUCAUUGACAGCUUGCUCUGGUUAAUUACCACAGUGUUUUAACUGAAUGCCCCAAGGAAUUGAUGUAGCCAACCAUCACUUCAAGCCUCAGAACACAAGAAAUCUUGGCAGAGCUCUGGAGACAGUUUAUCAAUAUCUAAGAUAGGUGGGCCUGACCUGACACCAAGAUGAAGGCAUUCUCAAAAGUUGGCUGUUAUCUCUGGGAUUCUCUAGAAGAAGCUAUAUUCCUGAAGUCCUUCUGCUCAGAAUGUUCUAUGCUGCCUGGACCUGCCUUGCAAUUGAUCCUGGAUUUGAAACUGACAGCUGUGAACUAGCAGGAAAAUGAUGUGGCAAGAGUUUCCAUGCCUGAAGAAAAUUCAAAGAAAGAACAACACGUUUGGAAAUUUCACAAAUUAUGAUUGUAUUGAUCAGCAAAUUUAUACAAAAGGAGAACACUCAUGGGAAAAUUGUGGAUCAAGAAGUAGAACACUGUGAGCAUUCUGGAAGUUUUCUUUUUGACUCCUUCUCAUCAUUAUGUUCAAAGCCAAGAAGGGGAAAGACUUUGGAGGAUACAGACUCUGGCAGGAGGCAGCAGUCUUCUUCCUGGAGACUUGAGGCCUGAGGUCAGCAGCCAACUGCUCAGAAGAAGAUCCCAUUGGACUUGGCAUUUGGGAAACCAGAGGCUGGUUCUUCUGAUAGGAGAGAACAGACUGGUCCUGAUAACGCUGAGCUAGGUGAGGAGGAUCCAAGAAACAGUGAAGUAACAUCAUGUGAUACCUUUGUGGUAGCCAGUUGUUAUGGUUCCACUUUAAGUGAGGUGACCAUCCAAGGUCAUUGGAUGUUUCUGGCAAGUAGAUACUACAAUGAUAUUUUUAAACAAUUGAACUGGCUGCUUUGAAGAGACGUGACCAUAGCAAUAAGUAUAAAGGAGAAAAAGCUUUUGGUGGUAGUAUAUAUGAGAGAUGAUGGUGACUUGGACCAUUACACUAGCAGUGAAAGUGAUGAGAAUUGUUGGUAUUUAAAGAAACAGUUAAUCUAUCAUAUCAAUUAUAAAGCUUCAAUAAUUGGAUUCAAUGUUAAUUACAUUUGUCACUUAGCCUUUAUCUCCAUUGAUUUACGCAUCAAUAAAAAUGUAUUUGCUUCUUAGGUGAUAUUCAUAAAGGAUAAAAAUCCUGAUAUAAAACUAUAGUUUUGUGUUUAUGGGAGAUACAGAAAUAAAUGUCUUUCUUCAUGUGACUCUAUAUUGGGAAUGACAAUGUGAUGGCAGAUUUAUUUGAGGAUUUUAUAUGUAAAUUUUUAAAAUGCCUUAUCAAAUGUGGAUUUGAAUCUCAACAUCUAAGCAGAUUAUGUUUCUCACACUUUCCUAAGAAAGCAUUUAGAUUUAAUUCAUUUUGUUGGAUCUCUGGGUCUAAAUCAGAAGCCCUGGCUUAGAUUACUGUUCCAAAGACAAUAUAACCUAAAGUUUUCUUAAGCAGAAUAAUUCUAGGUAGAUAACAUUCAUUUGUUUAUUAUGCAUAGAAUCUCUCAGAGUUAAGCGCUGUGUGUUUUCUUUCUUUCUUUCUUUCUUUUUUCUUUUUUUGUCUUUUUUACUGAAUCUCAAAAUCCUAAAGCAAGGUUCAGAACUAUAGGAUGUUGAGUCUACCUACCAGAGACAUGAAUAGUUGUGUUUUAAUGAAAAACUGCUCAUUGUGAUAUUUUAUUAGGAUUUUUAAAAACUCAGCCUAGGGAUAGCCAAACAUAUUUUCAACAAAUUAUUGUAAUAGAUGCAAAUUUUUGUUGUGAUUUUAAAUUACCAUUAAAAGUAUUACAUUCUUUGUGUAGUAUAUUAACAUUUUAUUAUGCUCGUAUUCAAGAUAUGCAGAAUUGGAGAAGAGAAUAAAUGUUGAAUUUGGAGGGGUUCCAAUAAUUAACAUCUAUUUUUUCCUGUGUGUUCAAUUGGUAAAAGUAUGUGUCCUUAAGGUAAGCUAUCUGUACUCUGUUCAAACAAAGAAAUUUUCUAUAUCCUGUAAAAAACUGGCAAAGUCAUAAGGACCUCUGUGGGAGGUAUUAAUUACAACUCGGAGGGAUCCCCAUUUAGCCUCAAGGUCUCAAAAUACUAUAAAGGGCAGCUCAGUCUUACAAUCCUCAGCCUCUAAUUCUUGCACAUCUGGUGACAUAUUCUGCAAGAUUUCUGUAAAUCACCCUUCGGAAAGCAGUUAAAGAAAUGUGAACUCAACCACUUUUAAAUUGAGUAAAAGUGAGAGAUAAUGAUGUUGCUUAAUUUAAUAAGAAUGUUUGGCACAGAAAAUGUCUGUAGGAUGACUAGUUUAAAAUGCUAGUGGUAUGAACAGGUAGAAAAUAUUAGCUUUAGGCAUCUUUAUGUCACUGUGACCAAGAACAAUUUAGAGGAGGAAAAAUUUACUUUGGGCUCAAGGUUUCAGAGAUUCAAGCAAUAGAUGACCAAAUCUAUAUCUCUGUGCUCCAGGCAGAUUAGAACAUCAGGACUGAAGGGUGUGGUCCAGGAAAACUACUCAGUCAAUCACAGCCAGAAAGCUUCACUCACCUGGGUCAAAUAUAAAAACCCAAAGGCUAGUCCCUAGUGAUCUCCUUCUUUCAAAAGCAUCCUACCUGACAAUAGAUACCACCCCGCUAAUCCACUUGUGGAUUAACCCACUGAUUAUGUUAUAGUUCUCAUAGUCUGAUCAUUUUACCUUUGAACAUUUUCACAUUGUCUCACACAUGAGUUUUUGUGGGCCAUCUCAUAAGGAAACUCUAACAGUAUUUAAAACAUAGUGUUUCUCAAAUUUGAAUCCAAGAGGGAAAAUAAUGUCCUGCUCUUCACAGAUACAUGAUAUUGGGAGGAUGUUGUUUAUGGAUUUUUUUUGUUUAUUCUAAAGAUCAAAAAUUUUGCUAUAGGACUUCAAUUAACAAAAUAGUUUACUAACAAGAGCAAUUCAAGGAACAGGGAAGAGGCCAAUUACAUGAAAACUAAACUGAGAAUUUAGGGGGAAACAAAUAUAUAUACAAAGGUUGAAAGGUGAAUUAUUUCCAAGUUAUUGAGGAAUGAUCUCACAGUGACCUUGGUGAACACAGCACAGAAAGGGUUAAUCCAAUGAUGACUGUAAAAGAUGAGUCUGAAAGCAGAUCAUGAGAGAGAUGGUGAUGUGCCUGAGUAUAGGCAGAAUGAUCACCUGAAGAUGUGCACAUUGAAGUCCCCAGAACCUGUGAAUAAGUCACAUGGAAAGGUACCUUGAAGAUGUAAUUAAAGCUGUGAAUCUUAGGAUAUGUAUUACCCAGGUAGGCCCAGUUUAAUCAUGAGAACUUACCAGCUGGAGACAGAAGAGAGAAUGGAAGGCAGAGAUCUUCCAAAUGUAAUUGGCCACAUGUAAAGAUAAGAAAGAUGGGGCUGGGCAGGCCCCUCCACUCCCAGCCAGAAAGGAAAUUGGGACUACUACUCCUCUCUCUUGGAAAUGGAUCUUACCAAAACCCUAAGUAAGGCUUGAAUCAGAUUCUUUCAAGAAUCUCCAGAUGAGAACUUGCCUCUGUCCCCACCCACUGCUGCCUCCAGAUGAGGACAUUGACACUAUUUUUUUUUUCCUUCAAGUGUUUAAACAGAGAAACCAGCUAAGCCAACACAGACUUAUGAUGAUCAUACUUGUGAAAUCAUAAAUAUUGUUGUUUUAAAACCCCAAAGUAACCAAGUACAGUGACGCACACCUGUAAUCCCAGUGACUCCGGAGGCUGAGCAGGGAGAUGUCAAGUUAAAAGGCAACCUCAGCAAUUUAGUGAAACCCUAGGUAACUUAAUGAGACCCUAUCUCUAAAUAAAAUAUAAAACAUACUAAGAAUGUAGCUCAGUGGUUAAGUACUCUUAGGUUUCACUAGCAAAAUUUGUAUGUUUGUGUGUGUGUGUGUGUGUGUGUGUGUGUGUGUGUACGCGUGCAGGCAAGCUCACACACUUGUAUAAUGCAAAUAAAUUGUCACUGCAAGGGACUUUAAUCAGAAUAUUUCAACAAAAAUAUUGAAAGGAGUAAAAUCAUUAUUGUCAAAAAAUGGGGGUAAUGACCACUUAUGGCAAUUACUAAAUUGAACUUUGAUGUGUAGUGAUCCUGAAAGACAGGGUAAUAUGUUAUUAGAUUUAUAUGAGCAAAAAGAGAAGUCUUUUUUGUGGAACAAUUUCUUCCAUCACUCUUUUAUCUCAGGUAUCAAAGACCAUAGGAAAUUAUAUAAGUAAAUAAGAGCCACUAUUGGUCAGAUGAAAAUGACAAGAAUGUGCUUGUAUAGUGCCAAGAUAUGAAAAUGGAAUUAAAAAGUAGAAAACAUAAAAGUAAGGAAGCUGUGAUGGUUUGAUAAUGAGGUAUCCCCCAAAAGCUCAUGUGAAAGACAAUGCAGGAAGAUUCAGAAGUGAAAUGAUUGGGUUAUGAGAGUCUUAACCUACCAGUGCAUUAAUCCAGUUGAGUGGAUAAACUAAGUGGUGACUGUAGUUAGGUAGAGUUUGACAGGAGGAGGUGGGUCACAGUGGGUGCACCCUCAAGGUAGAUAUUUUAUCCCUAGAAGUGAGAAGCCUCUCUCUGCUUCCUGAUUGCCAUGUGCUGAGCUGUUUGCCUCCUCAACAACCUUUCACAUUGACAUCCUGCCUCAUCUUGGGCCCAGAGCAAUGGAACCAGCCAUCUCUGCAGUGAGAUCUGAAACAGUGAGCCCCAAAUAAAUGCUAUUCCUCUAAAAUUAAACUGUAUUUAAAAUUUAGUAUAAAUAUAGGUAGACUUGCUCUAUUUUAAUAAAUUCUUUAAGUUCAUCAUAAUUAUGUCACAAAUUUUGUGGAUUUCAAAAUAAUUCUCUUAAUAUCCUUUUUAAAUGACUCUUUGUUCCAGUUUUUAAAAUUUUCUCUGAGAUUGAUAUUCUUAUCUCAAACACCAAAACCCAUGGUUAUGAUUUAGUCAAGUUUUGCAUUUUCUAAUAAUUAUAACUCCUGAUAAUACCAAUUUUGAUUGUUUUCUUUCCCAAUCACCAAAAGUUAUUUAUAACUCAUUUCAUCUGGUGUUCCCCAAAGGAAAGCUCUCCUAUUUCAUUUGUUUUUUAUUGUCUCACUCUAUUCAUGUUUUCCCAACCAUUUUCACCUAACUGUAUGAGAAAGGAAUUGUCAUUUUAAACUACAAACCCCAAGAGGAGCUGCAUAUCUCCUUCCUAACUCCCUCCUUCUAGUUAUUCCAGUUAGGAAUCUAGGACUUUUCUUGAAUUUUUCAUUUCUCCUCUACCAUAUCCAAUACAUCAUUAUUUCCUUUUGGCACUGAUUGCAAAAUAUAAAUAGAUUAUUUCAGUUCUCCUCAUGUCUACCGACAACAUCUUAUGAAACCACUAUAAUUUCUCGUGUUGAUUUCUGAAAUAACUCUCAAUCUCCUUUUGCUCCUUCUGUCCUCACCCUUAUAUAAAGCCUAUUCUUAACACAGGACACACUGUCCCUGAUACUAAGAUUAGGAUAUUGCUCUAAUGACAACCUGCCCAUAACUCCUUCAUUCCUUAUUUUUUUUCAUCAGUGUAAAAACCAAUGUCAUAAUGUAGCCUAAAAGGGCUGUCUGAGCUGCCCUGAGCACGUUCUGACCCAUGGUAGAGAAUCCUCCCUUUCUAUCCUAUAACAUCAUUUCCAGUUCUGAGCUUCUGUUUGAACAUAUGUAGCUAUGUUCUCCCUUCCCCCUCUCAGGCAGGGAUGGGAAGCCCUGAGGUGGCUGCAUACCCUUCUUUUCAGAGACCAACAUAAUGUCACAUUCUCAAUGAGAACUUCUAUACUCAUUUUUUAGUAGAAACUAACAAACCUACUUUAUCCUCACCUGUUAACUCUCCCUUGUCACUCUUUUUUUUUUAACAAAAAAUCACUUGAUACCAUCAAAUGUAGUGCAUAUUUAUUACUACAGAUGUACUAAGUACCUGUCUCUUCUAAUUAGAUUUCUAGCUCCAUGAUAGAGGAUAUGUUGUCUGCUUAAGGCACUUGUAUAUACACACAUACUCACGAAUGAAGACAAAAACACUGUAGACAUACAAUGUACCUAGUAAAAAAUAAUGAAGAAUUUCUAAUCAUUAUAGCUAUACUUAAAUAGAACGAAAAAAAAUCUGUCAUUUUCACUUAUCAGACAGGUGUCCUUUGUGUAAAAAUUUGGGUAAAAAAAUAAUACUGCUAAGUAGAAUAUUUCAUUUGUCUUCUAGAUGUAUGAAGAAAUAAUGGUCUCAGAGAAAGAUAAAAGUAGUGUGAAUGAGUAGUAUGACAGAACUUCCUUUUUUAUAUUUUAAAUAUAUAUUCUGUUUAUAUAAAGUGAUGUAUUAUAUAUUGCCAAAUAAAUGCAUUACUCAGAAUAAUAAAACUCUACUCUUACUGAAAUGAACAUGGCCAAAACACAGAUAAAUCUACAAACUUGCAAGUCAAUACAAAAUUUAUUAUCUACUCUUUUUAAAAGUUGAGGUAGAUGCAUCAAGGAAAUUAUGAAGAAGAAAAUUACAUCUCUCUUUCAAUAGUGCAUGCAAUCAACUUAGAAAGAAAAGAUUUAAUUUUUGAAAGCUUAAUAUCCUUAUAUGAGUUUAGAAUUUCCUUCCAGAUAACAAAAAAACUAUUACUAUGAAUAAUUUAGGCAUGGGCAUUUCUAGAUUAGGAGGGAUAUAAAAUUUCAUUUUGGUAUUCAAGGUAUUCAUAAUCUAAAUCAUAAGUGAGAACACAUUGCCCUGUCCUUGGCUACAAGCACAGGGAUUCUGGAUAUUGCCAUCCAGUGCACAGUGACCCGAGCCAUUAAUGAGAAAGCUUUAAAAGGUUAUUGAGAAGCAGAGUUGAAGAAGAACACAAGAAAUCCCUGGAUUCUGCACAGUUCUUUCCUUCACAGAAGUGCUUGGGACUUCUAUUUAGAAGGGAGUUCCAAUACAGAAUACCUGUCUUAGCAUAGCUUGGAAUAUGAGUGGGCCAUCCCCAAAUAGAGUAGGUGCCCUUUAUCUUCUUUAUAACAAGGGACAUGAUAAGAGAUCUCAGGCCUAGGAAAUAAAUCCAGAGCUCAGCUAGAGAGACUACAUAUCAAUCUUGUUGAUAUCUGUCAGAGGUCUGGCUAUUACUUUGAAAGUCUCAGUUCAUUGCAGCUCAAAAGCUCUGUGCCAGGCCACAGAGAAAAGAAAAGGGACAGGAAGAGCUAUUCAUGCACAGAUUUUUAUCUUCUCUAUUCUCUCUGUGGCUAGCACUUAGCAUCUAAUUAAAUAUAUGGUUCCUAAUCAAACAAUAUAAUCAUGUGAAUUUUAAUGGGGUCUUUAAUGCCUGCUUGCAGCAAAAGGAGAUUAAAAAAAAAUCCAAAAGAUCACAAAAAAUACCAUGAAGUCUAUCACAGCAAGGCUAGGUCCAUGACACUUGGAGAUAUUUGCUCUGCUUGUGCAGAUACUGCACUUAGAGAUCAAUUUGAUCUUAGGACACUGACUUAAAAGUAGUGCAAGUUCAGGUUUGCCAUGUUCUACUUCCUGGAGAGCCUUGGAGUCCCAGGUUCCAUUACCUGGACAAACAGUUAAUGCUAGUCUGCUUAGCAAUAAAAACUCACGUGAUUUGAUGAGAAAAUUCCAUAGAGUGUCACAUAAAUAGGGAAUCACCUCUGUUUAGUGAUGAAAUCCUGUGUCCUUGAUACCCCCAGAAAGAUGACCAGAGAAGGUAAGAGGAGAUGUCACCAAUGACACCUGAGUUUUGGAUCAGUAUCAAAGACUGAAUCAUUUUUUUCACAUAAGUUCUUUCAAGUCCAAGGGGAGGGUCUUUCCUGUGUAGGAGAAAGUUAAUUCCUAGCAGCACGAAGUGUUCAGCACACCAAGAGGGGAGAUGGCAUCUGAUUCUCUCUAGUGUUUACUCUUCCUUUCGUGAGUACACGGGUUGGUUCUGGAGGAGGGUUGAAUGUAUCAGACAGCUCUGCGGUGGAGAGGAGCACUCCAGGCCAUUUGAGGAAGUUUGGCUUCACUUCUAGAUAUUAUGAAGUACCGAUUCUGUUGGGAACCAAGAUGUAAAAGUGAGACUAUCAGGAAUAAAAAUCAUGCAUGAAAAAGAAAAAAAAUAAUAAAAACAGUGUGCAGUUUAUCCUCUAAAUAUUUUCUAACUUCACAUUCCUGACACUUGAAACUCAAUUUAAGUAGUUUGGAACUAUUGUACCUGAAAAUAGUUCCUAACAGAACUCAUCUUGAUAUGUUCCUACAGCAUAGUUGGAAAGAGAACAGUCCUUGUUCAUUCUAGUAAUUGCCAGUAUUGAAAUUUUUUAAAUUCACAAGUUGUAUUUUACUGCAUUCAGAAUAUUUACCUGUUUUUUUCACUUGACACAUAAAAAUUGUACUCAUUUACAGGUUAUGAGUAGUCAUUUACUCAUUUAUAGUGAGGUAACUAGAGUUGGCAACAAUUAAUUGUGUCUUUCAAAAUAGCUAGAAGAGAGGACUGUGAAUGUUGCUGACAUAAAGAAAUGAUGCAUGUGUGGGUAAUAGAUAUGCCAAUUACACUGGUAUGAUCAUUACUCAUUCUUUAUGUGUAUUAAAGUAUCACAGUGUACCCCAUUACUGAAAUAUUUUGAGAAUAAAUCCACAAUGCUAUGGUGCAAAUGAUGGGUACGUAUGUUAAUUUAAUUCAGAGGCUUUCCUUAACUGUGGUUGUGAGUACCUAUUUCUAUCAUCCAUCUAUCUGUGUAUCUAUGUAUGUAUGUAUGUAUCUAUCUACCUGUCUGUCACUGAGUCUGUAAUUUAAAUACAUCAUAUUGCUACGUAUUUAGUUACUGAUAUCUUGGUGUUCCAGUGGCACCAUUAUCAGUGAAUAUCAGUUACCUGUGCAUCUAUGUAAAAGUGUAUUUUAAUUAGUUUCAUAAUAGAAUGUUUAAUUCCUAAGAAUAGGAUGUGAAAUUUAGAUUAUUCUUAAGAACAUUCAGUGCCAUGCACACUCUGCUCCUUACUAUCAUUAGGGACCACUGCAACCUUACGCUAGACAACCCAUGUUGGAAGUGGAUAAUUUUUCAGAAAACCAUGCUCUCUUACCAGGUGACAAAUCCAUAGGUGGGGUCAUCUGAAGCAGUCAUUCAGAUAAUUUAGUGAGUGGUACUGGUUCUGUGACUGACUCGCGGGUGAGUUGUACUUCUCGAAGUUUACCAGUUGACUCAGCGGGAUAUGCCAUUCCAUUUCAUAGUGGAGGACACGAGAAUAGCAGUCUAUGAAUUUUAUCUUCAUUCAAGACCCAAACAUCUUCAACUAUGACUAUGUGAAGUUUCCUCAUUGGGAUUCACCAUAAGAAGGUAGCCAACGCAAAGGGAUAUUUAAACACAUACUAGUAGCUAAUAUUCUCCUAAAACUUGCUGCACUCAGUGAAGAAACAGUGAAGAAUCAUUCACAUACCCUUGUGCAAAAAAGUGCUGAUAUACUGUAGGCCUUGCCACAUGGCAGCAAAUUGAUCUUGGUCUUUUUUUCUUUUGAAAGUUCAACAGAAAACGAAAGUAUUGGUAAUGCCCAAGGCUUCAAACAUGGUCCUAGUAAUGGAAGCACACUGCUGUCCACAUGACAUCAGCUGUUGCCUGUAGAGCAGGAACUAUUUGUAUUUGAUGUCUACAGGACAGGUCCCACCAUCAAUGAUGACACUAUUAAUGAAAUAAUAUCCCAUAUGACUCUGGCCUCAAUCAAAUAUGUGGUGAGAAGAAGAAAUACAUUUUCUUCUAUUGUCAUAAGAUAUUGAUUUAACUAUAUAAUCCUGACAAGUUUUGUAAGUACAGCAGGUCCCUAGAAAUGCACUACAAAUAUAGUGACCGAAUCUAUUAUUAAGAAUUUAUGUGUGUGUUUAUCUAAUCUAACAUGUAUGCAUGCUUGCACUAAGAUAAUACUUCAAAAUGCCCAUAUCAUGUGUAGUGUUUAUUAAAUGGCCAUCAAUCAUAAAUCCAAAUAAACAGCAGCGCUCAAAGUAAUUGCAACUGCUUUCUCUUGGCCAAAAGCAAUGCUAUCUUGUAAUGUUGAAAGGGGUUUUUUAUUCCCAGAAAUAACAGACAUCUGAGAUUCAAUUCCAAGUAAUCGAAUCCAGAAUUACCUGACAAAUCCUAACCUGCACUUUUUUUUUUCCUAGUGCAUAUGAUUUGGAGGUUAGGGUCAACAGUCCUAUUUAGGGCAGCAAGACUAGAAGGUUUGUCUCCAGCCUUCAUUUUGUUACAGUGGAUUAACUGCUGGUCUGAGGAUAUGCCAUACCCAGAAUAGGAACAGUGGACCCACACAGCUUGUCUCUAAGGGACAUCCCAGGUUGGAAUUCAAAGACAUCCACUGCACCAUUAGCUGAACUGAUGUUUCUCUUUUUCUUCUUAGAACUUGAAACUUCUCUAAAGUUGUGAGUACAAGCCAAGAAAUCAAGAUUUAAAUGAACAUACCCUCCUUGAUUGCCUCUGUAUUAAUUUUCUCGUGCAAAGUACCAACAACAUAGUGAUUCAAAGCAAAACACAUUGUUGUGUUAAAGCAGCCAUUCAUUUUAAGCUCUCUGUUCUUGUUCUGACACAAUCAGUCUCACCAGCUUCCUUCUCCAUUAGAAUACCACAACCAGCUUGCAUCUUCUUUUCAGGCACCUGGGGCCUAGACAAGGUUCAAAGGACCCUUCCUCCAAAGCUCCACAUUCUAGCAAUGUGUACUUCUUUGUUUUCCUCUGUCCCAGAGUUACCUAAAUGACCUUCAACAUACUUUUUACCUUUCACUGUCUCAAUGUGUUUAACCAUUUACAGACGUUAAAAAUCAUCUUUUUAAGAAAUCAUUUGAUUUCUUUUUUCUAACCUGGUUCCCCUUAGCACAUAAUAAAGGAGGUACACAAUGCACUGUCCCCAUGCUGUGGUGCUCUUUUGACUACAGGACCCACUGCCUUCUACAUGUAAAGGGUGGGCAAGGAAGUGCUGGCCUAGGGAGCGCCUGGCUGUGUUCCCAAGUUCAUGUCUUUCUUCUCUCACAAAUGCAUUUCUUAUUUGCUCAAAGGAAAUAAAUUGGUGCUGUAACAAGUAUUGUGAUACCUUCAAAAUCAAAUGAGCUACAUAUGUUGUAACAAACACAAGAAUAACAACUAGUGUAUUGUAUGUUGCACUGGUUUUUUUUUGUUUUUUGUGGGUUUUUUUUUUGCAUUUUUCUCACAAUGUAUAGGUAAGUCACCGAUUACCAAAUUUAUACUUAUCUAAAAGAUGAUCAUGAUCUACAGUGUUUACAUAAUUAGCUUCAGAUGUGCCAUUGUUUGCUAGUAACUUCACAUUUUAAAAUAUUCAGUUAUAAAACUAAAAUGCUCAAAUAUUUAAGAAUAAAACAGUAAUUUUUUAAAGUAAUAUAGAAAUUUAAAUAUAAAAGUCACAUUAAUGGAUAGGAAGUUAAAUUUCCCAAGUCUUUUAUAUUUAACUAAGUAAAUGCUUUGCUAUUAAAGCAAUUAAUUUAUCUGUUAAAAUACCACUCAUCGACAUUGACUAUUUCUGAAAUAGUCAUAGAAGUAGUUUUGAAUAGAAGCACUUCUAAGUACAAUUAUUAAUACUGAACAUUUAUUCAUUUGGAAGGCAUUCUAUUUUAAAACACUGUAGAAUGCAAGGUUGGCCUUUCAGCUAUGAUUAACCAUGGUGUAAAUUGCAAGCAAUAAAGUUUAAUUAUGCCAUAUUUAUGCAAAAUAAGGUAAUUGAACAUAUAUAUAAGAUAUUCACAUAAUAAGAAAAUCAAAGUCAUUAGGAAUAAUCUUAUCUUUCAUUUCAUGAGAUGGUAAAAAUGAGAAUAGAGGUUUAAGUUGUUUAUUUAGUAUGCAAGCAGAGAUAUGAGUCAUUUUAAUGAACUUGGAUUAAAUGCUACCUUGAAAUAAUUUACUUAUAAGAAAAUAAAUACCAUACAUAUACAACCCAUACACAUAAGCAUGCAAAAAAAGCCAUUUUUCCUAUUUAGAUUAUAUCUCUGGUCACAAGUUUGUUUAUAAAUCUCAAGCAAUUGUAAUAUGCAGCACUAUUAUAAGUGAGGAUUACUAUAGUUUAAUUUUGGACUGAAUGAGAGAAAGCACAUGAAUACAAGCACACACCUGGGAACCCACACCUCCUCACACAGCAUAGCAUAAAGGCAGACCAGAGCAAAACUUUCCUCUGCUCUUAGAUCACAAAUUCCAUUUAUUCUUUGACCUGCUUUUUCAUAUCUGUCUUUGCUGAACUUCCGAGUGUCUGGCUAUAUUCUUCCAACUGCUAUAUUAUGUUUUGAGAAAAUUCCCUUAUAACUUAGAAUCCCUUUUAUAUAAGCCUAAAACACAAGUCUCUUCUUCUGAUAUAAAAUUUAAUAAUACCAUUUGUUCCAUACCUCCCCCAACAAAAACUUCACAAAACAGGACUGUGUGCUGAUUUGUGUAUUCAUUUAGUGAAAGUCUUGUAACCAUUGAUUAAAAGGACUUAAGGGGUAAAGUCCUUAGAGAACAAAAGAAAUGAUAAUAAAAAUACUAAUUACAUAUUCAGUUCCCCAAUAAUUGUUUGGCUUCCUUUUAUUUGCAUCAAGUCAGGGAGAAUAAGAAUAACUAUAUUUAUAUGCCUCAGAGUCCAUGUUCUCUAAUUGAAUUUUGUGAUAAAUUUUACUUCUAAUUUAAAAAAUAAUCUUAAAAUACCUUUUAGUUAGAAUAUUUAUGUGUUUAAUUUUUUUCUGUCAGGAAAGUCAAGUAUUAUUUGGAAACAUAGUUUGAAGUCUCCUUACCUAGCAUAUGCUAAAAAAAUGAGCAUGUUGGAAGGUCUUUAUUCUAAAAACAAAGAAAAAAGUAUGUGUGUGUGUGUGCAUGCCUUUACAUAUAUGUAUAAAUAUAGAAGAUGCCAGCAUGUCCCCAACAGUGUCUGAACUGCAUUAUACAUUAACACUCUUGGUCACAGCUGAUGUCCCCAUUCUCCAUGCCUCAGCAUCUUAGGAAAUCUGUGUUUAGUUUUCAAACCACUGUUUGGAAUCCAUUGUUGGAUCCCUGAUUGAUUUCUCAGUUCUUGAAGCCAGUGUUUGCACCUUCCAUUUACACUCUUCUAAUGCCUUCCUCAACUUGGUACAUUUUAUUUUCAAUUGAAUGUCUCUGCCAGCUCCUGUUUUAUUAGCCCCCAACAGAUAUUACCCUUCCCCCCAUCCUGGCCCAGGAUCAGUGGUCUAUGGAAUUGUUGGGAACAAACAAAAUCUCUUACCUCUCCACAGAAGGAGAAGGGAAAGAAAAUACUUUAUUUUAGAAGAAGCAUGAAAUCAAGAUGUGAUACUUAUCAGAGGCAGUCUCCUAAGAGACUACAAAAGCAGAAAGACAUGUCAUCCUUUGCCAUAGCUAAGCAGGUUCACCUCAUUACAUACAUGUUGUCAAGACCAUAGAAAUCAGCUUGCAAGUAAGAGCACCUGACAGCACCAUUUGUCAUCCUAGAUGCAUCUGGUAAUUGUGACAUCCACGAGUCUUAGCUAGUUUGCUUUAUCUAGAGGAGAAAAAAAACUGUACAUUGUUAUGAUAGGAGGCAGUUUGCAACUUAGAGCAAGGUAUUCGCCAAAAUUUCUCUCCUACUUGACCACAGAGGCCUAGAGAUAGGGACCUUCAUCUUCUUUAAAGAUUACAUUUAGAAGAUCAUCUCCAAGCCUUACACAAAGUCAUUCCUGGGGCUUAAAAUUGACAGGAGGCUUAUUUAGCUUUUACAAAGUUUCAUAUGCAUUUCAAAGAGAGCUAAUUUACAUUUAAAAGUGAUCUAAAGAAGCAAAGGAGAAGGUGGUGAUGGGUGUACCUCCAAUGAUGAUGAUGAUGAUGAUGAUGAUGAUGAUGAUGAUGAUGGUGAUGAUGAUGAUUUACCUUCCAUUUUUAUUUUUUAUUUUGUUUAGAGACAGGGUCUCUGAGUUACUUAGGGCCUCACUAAUUUUGCUGGGUGAAAUCCUCCUGCCUCAGCCUCCCUAGCUGCUGGGUUUAUAGGCAUACUUUUCCCCUCCUGUCCCUCUCUUAUUUUUAACUGGGAAAAUUUGUUUUUGCUUUCUCCUGUUUGUAUUUACUUACUCUUGUGGCAUUAGUACUGUGGCCUUGGCUGGCUUAUUCAAGAGGAAAGGCUCAAUGACAAGACCUUCAUAUAUUUUCUGCUUUGUUAUAGCAACAAGUGAAAAAUGAAACCCAACCAUCCCUCCAUAUCAUCUAAAGGAAUAAUUUGAUGGUCUUUGCUGGUCCUGUAGCAGAGUGAAGCAUUGCUAUAAAGAGCACAAUCCUGUGGGAUCAUUGAUUUAAAAAACUGAAUUAAUUAAAAAGCUUCAGGAUUAGAUCUUUAUUAUUCAAGUUUUAGCUUGGUUCAUUCCCAGCCUUUCUGCUAAGAGACUCAUCAUUUCUGUCAUUUGAACAAGAAAUUCCAUCUAUCUUCACUUCUACAGAAUCAAACCAAAGAUACAUGAUGUCAUAUCAGUAGAAGAUGAAGAGAUGAGAUAGUUGGAUGAAGG